GAUAUGACCUCAUAAGGCUGUGCCUGGCUCCUGCUCUGUUGUGAUUUGGCUGAAGAAAGAAAAGCAUCCACGUGACACACUAUUGUAAAGAUGGCGUUUAUUAAAGAGGAGAGUGAAGACAUUAGGAUUGCAGAAGUAUUCAGCAUCAAACAUGAAGAGACUGAGGAACAAACAGAGAUUCAGCUGGAAUAUCCCCAUCAGUUUAUCAGUACAGACGAGCAUCAAAUCAUCAGGAAGAAAUCUGUAAAGACUGAGUUUAUUAAAGAGGACAGAGAGAAGAUGAGAGAUCCAGAGCCCUGCAGAAUCAAACA